rnacentral:rRNA from 1 species
GCGAAGAUCGGGCCGGCGGCCGCGGUAAUACGAAGGUGGUAGGCGUUGUUGUGAUUUACUGGGGGUACAGGGAGCGUAGGCGGUUGGAUAAGCCCUCCGUGAAAUCGCCAGGCGUAACCUGGAAAGGGCAGAGGGGACGGGUCAGCUAGAGGAUGGGAGAGGAGCGCGGAAUUCCCGGUGUAGCGGUGAAAUGCGUAGAGAUCGGGAGGAAGGCCGGUGGCGAAGGCGGCGCUCUGGAACAUUUCUGACGCUGAGGCUCGAAAGCGUGGGGAGCAAACAGGAUUAGAUACCCCAGUAGUC